GGAGGGUACAGCUCAGUGCUAGAGCACAUGGCUAGCAUGCAUGAGGUCCUGGGUUCAAUCCCCAGCACCUCCG
rnacentral:tRNA from 1 species